GCUGCAGAGUGGACGAGAAUAUGGACUGUCAUUUCCUUCAUACAUGCCGGGUUAGACGGUUGCAUUUCAACGCGGCAGCUAAAAUUGCAGCGGUUGACUAAAUAUGGAUGUGCAGCCGCAACAUUAAAGAGGGAGACAUAAUUGAAGAACAUAACUACAGGACAUCCCAGAAUAAGGUUUUCUCUCUCAAGCCAGGAAUCCUCCCAUCAGACACAUGAAGUCAUAUUUUCACAGGAAGCUGAACUACAUCCAGAAAGCACUCGGUGUCAAAGGUUUGAUUUAAUUAAUUCAUUUAUUUAUAUUUGCUUGUUUUAAAAAUUUUCCUUUUAAGUUUCAUCCUCAUUAUUCGAUGACUCUGCACUUUCAAUAUAAUACUAUGCAGCCUAUAAAUUGACACGCAACAUGUUUCAG